rnacentral:rRNA from 1 species
GACGAACGCUGGCGGCGUGCUUAACACAUGCAAGUCGAACGGAAAGGCCCUGCUUUUGUGGGGUGCUCGAGUGGCGAACGGGUGAGUAACACGUGAGUAACCUGCCCUUGACUUUGGGAUAACUUCAGGAAACUGGGGCUAAUACCGGAUAGGAGCUCCUGCUGCAUGGUGGGGGUUGGAAAGUUUCGGCGGUUGGGGAUGGACUCGCGGCUUAUCAGCUUGUUGGUGGGGUAGUGGCUUACCAAGGCUUUGUCGGGUAGCCGGCCUGAGAGGGUGACCGGCCACAGUGGGACUGAGAUACGGCCCAGACUCCUACGGGAGGCAGCAGUGGGGAAUAGUGCACAAUGGGCGGAAGCCUGAUGCAGCAACGCCGCGUGCUGGAUGACGGCCUUCGGGUUGUAAACCGCUUUCGCCUGUGACGAAGCGUGAGUGACGGUAAUGGGUAAAGAAGCACCGGCUAACUACGUG